AUUGAACGCUGGCGGAAUGCUUUACACAUGCAAGUCGAACGGUAGAGGGGGCAACCCCUUGAGAGUGGCGAACGGGUGAGUAAUAUAUCGGAACGUGCCCAGUCGUGGGGAUAACGUAGCGAAAGUUACGCUAAUACCGCAUACGAUCUACGGAUGAAAGCGGGGGACUCGCAAGAGCCUCGCGCGAUUGGAGCGGCCGAUAUCAGAUUAGGUAGUUGGUGGGGUAAAGGCUCACCAAGCCAACGAUCUGUAGCUGGUCUGAGAGGACGACCAGCCACACUGGAACUGAGACACGGUCCAGACUCCUACGGGAGGCAGCAGUGGGGGAAUUUUGGACAAUGGACGCAAGUCUGAUCCAGCCAUUCCGCGUGCAGGAUGAAGGCCCUCGGGUUGUAAACUGCUUUUGUACGGAACGAAAGGUUUCUAUUAAUACUAGGAGCUCAUGACGGUACCGUAAGAUAAGCACCGGCUAACUACGUGCCAGCAGCCGCGGU
rnacentral:rRNA from 1 species